rnacentral:rRNA from 1 species
CAGCAGCCGCGGGAAAACGAAGGGGGCUAGCGUUGUUCGGAUUUACUGGGCGUAAAGCGCACGUAGGCGGAUCGAUCAGUCAGGGGUGAAAUCCCAGAGCUCAACUCUGGAACUGCCUUUGAUACUGUCGAUCUGGAGUAUGGAAGAGGUGAGUGGAAUUCCGAGUGUAGAAGUGAAAUUCGUAGAUAUUCGGAGGAACACCAGUGGCGAAGGCGGCUCACUGGUCCAUUACUGACGCUGAGGUGCGAAAGCGUGGGGAGCAAACAGGAUUAGAUACCCGCGUAGUCCCUGUCUCUUAUAC